rnacentral:rRNA from 1 species
UACGAAGGGGGCGAGCGUUGUUCGGAAUUACUGGGCGUAAAGGGCGCGCAGGCGGCUCAGACAGUCAGAUGUGAAAGCCCCGGGCUUAACCUGGGAACUGCAUUUGAUACUACUGAGCUUGAGUACGGGAGAGGAUAGUGGAAUUCCCAGUGUAGAGGUGAAAUUCGUAGAUAUCGGGAGGAACACCAGUGGCGAAGGCGGCGAUCUGGGCAGAUACUGACGCUGAGGUGCGAAAGCGUGGGGAGCAAACAGG